UUGGAGGGCAAGUCUGGUGCCAGCAGCCGCGAUAAUUCCAGCUCCAAUAGCGUAUAUUAAAGUUGUUGCAGUUAAAAAGCUCGUAGUUGAAUUUCGGGAUCAAUACGUCGGUCGUGCUUUUUUGGUACGCACUGGCGUCAUUGGUUUCUCCUUUCUGACGAACUAUGAUGUCAUUAAUUUGGUGUUAUGGGGAGUUAGGACUGUUACUUUGAAAAAAUUAGAGUGUUUAAAGCAGGCAUUAGCUUGAAUACAUUAGCAUGGAAUAAUGAAAUAGGACGUUCGAUCCUAUUUUGUUGGUUUCUAGGAUCAACGUAAUGAUUAAUAGGGAUAGUUGGGGGCAUUAGUAUUCAAUUGUCAGAGGUGAAAUUCUUGGAUUUAUUGAAGACUAACUACUGCGAAAGCAUUUGCCAAGGAUGUUUUCAUUAAUCAAGAACGAAAGUUAGGGGAUCGAAGACGAUCAGAUACCGUCGUAGUCUUAACCAUAAACUAUGCCGACUAGGGAUCGGAUGAUGUUAAUUUUUUAAUGACUCAUUCGGCGCCUUACGGGAAAC
rnacentral:rRNA from 1 species